GGAAAGUGCAAAGAGGAUCAUGUGUUGUUCUUGUGUAUAAAAGAUUCCUUGAAGCAUCUUGGAUUAAGUCGUGCACAAGAUGGCUGAAUAGGAACAGCUCCGGUCUGCAGCUCCCAGCAAGAUCAACACAGAAGAAAUGGUGAAAAAACAUUGGAGAAAGUAUCCUGAAUCCUGCUUCUCAGAAGUGCAACUAGGAGUAUCCAGAAAUUAUUCUCUAGCAGUGACUUUGCAGGCAGCACAAUGCUGGAAGUUGCAGGGUCGUGUCUUGGAAGCCACUGAAAUGAUGAAUAGAUGAGGAACUGGAAAUUAUCUACCUUUCACACUAAUAAGAGGAGAGGAAAAACUUUCUACAAAAUCCAGUACUUUGCUUCUUCCCCUGCUAAAGUGCUAACAAGAGAUACAAAGACACCAUCGUAGGUCAGUAUGGGUGGCUCCUCUAGCCCUCCUACCCACAAAGGUAUGCCAUGCUCAAAUUUAGGAGACAGAAAUAAACUUUAUAGCCUUUAUUGUUUCACACAUAAGUGUGGAAAUAUUUCUUAACAUAAAGCCAAAUUAUAUAUAUAUAACAAAGCAAAUACUAAUUCCUCUGCCUCUGCUGAGUCAUUCACUUAGCACCAUACCAGGCCUAUAGAAUGGACUUAAGACAAAAUUAUUGAUUCACAAGU